GUGGGGAAUAUUGCACAAUGGGGGAAACCCUGAUGCAGCAACGCCGCGUGAAGGAUGAAGGCCCUUGGGUCGUAAACUUCUGUUCUAAGGGAAGAUAAUGACGGUACCUUAGGAGCAAGUCCCGGCUAACUACGUGCCAGCAGCCGCGGUAAUACGUAGGGGGCAAGCGUUAUCCGGAAUUAUUGGGCGUAAAGCGUGCGUAGGCGGUUUCUUAAGCACGGGGUUUAAGGCUAUGGCUUAACCAUAGUUCGCCCUGUGAACUGGGAGACUUGAGUGCAGGAGAGGAAAGCGGAAUUCCUAGUGUAGCGGUGAAAUGCGUAGAUAUUAGGAGGAACACCAGUGGCGAAGGCGGCUUUCUGGACUGUAACUGACGCUGAGGCACGAAAGCGUGGGGAGCGAACAGGAUUAGAAACCCUAGUAGUCC
rnacentral:rRNA from 1 species